CCUACGGGUGGCUGCAGUGGGGAAUAUUGGACAAUGGGGGGAACCCUGAUCCAGCCAUGCCGCGUGUGUGAAGAAGGCCCUCGGGUUGUAAAGCACUUUCAGUGAGGAAGAACGCCUGGUGGUUAAUACCCAUCAGGAAAGACAUCACUCACAGAAGAAGCACCGGCUAACUCCGUGCCAGCAGCCGCGGUAAUACGGAGGGUGCGAGCGUUAAUCGGAAUUACUGGGCGUAAAGCGCGCGUAGGUGGCUUGAUAAGCCGGUUGUGAAAGCCCCGGGCUCAACCUGGGAACGGCAUCCGGAACUGUCAAGCUAGAGUGCAGGAGAGGAAGGUAGAAUUCCCGGUGUAGCGGUGAAAUGCGUAGAGAUCGGGAGGAAUACCGGUGGCGAAGGCGGCCUUCUGGACUGACACUGACACUGAGGUGCGAAAGCGUGGGUAGCAAACAGGAUUAGAUACCCUUGUAGUC
rnacentral:rRNA from 1 species